UCUAAAGUGUGAAAUACCAAAAUACCCCACGGUUAGUCACCCACACACGUGUGAAAAGCUUGUUACACGAUUGUUAUGAUAUUGGGACACGAUCAUUUACCAAGAUCUAAACAAUGAUGUACCAAUAUUUAAACAAUCUUUGUUUACGAUCGUGUACCAAGAUAAUUUAUAUUUAGUACAAGAUCAUGUACCAAUAUCAUUUAUAUUUGGUACACGAUCAUGUACAAGGUCUAAACAAUCUUGUAUCAAU
rnacentral:lncRNA from 1 species